AUACAAGUUACCUCGAGAUCUUGAUAAAAUGCAGAUUCUGAUUCAUUAGAUCAGGGUGGGACCUGAGAUCCUACUUUUCUAAUAAGCUCCCAAGUGAUGCCUAU
rnacentral:pre_miRNA from 1 species